AUUGAACGCUGGCGGCAUGCCUUACACAUGCAAGUCGAACGGCAGCACGGGAGCAAUCCUGGUGGCGAGUGGCGAACGGGUGAGUAAUAUAUCGGAACGUGCCCAAUCGUGGGGGAUAACGUAGCGAAAGUUACGCUAAUACCGCAUACGAUCUACGGAUGAAAGCGGGGGAUCGCAAGACCUCGCGCGGUUGGAGCGGCCGAUAUCAGAUUAGGUAGUUGGUGGGGUAAAGGCCUACCAAGCCUGCGAUCUGUAGCUGGUUUGAGAGAACGACCAGCCACACUGGGACUGAGACACGGCCCAGACUCCUACGGGAGGCAGCAGUGGGGAAUUUUGGACAAUGGGGGCAACCCUGAUCCAGCCAUGCCGCGUGCAGGACGAAGGCAUUCGGGUUGUAAACUGCUUUUGUACGGAACGAAACGGCCUUUUCUAAUACAGAGGGCUAAUGACGGUACCGUGAGAAUAAGCACCGGCUAACUACGUGCCAGCCGCCGCGGUAA
rnacentral:rRNA from 1 species